rnacentral:rRNA from 1 species
GACGAACGCUGGCGGCGUGCUUAACACAUGCAAGUCGAACGGAAAGGCCCUGCUUUUGUGGGGUGCUCGAGUGGCGAACGGGUGAGUAACACGUGAGUAACCUGCCCUUGACUUUGGGAUAACUUCAGGAAACUGGGGCUAAUACCGGAUAGGAGCUCCUGCUGCAUGGUGGGGGUUGGAAAGUUUCGGCGGUUGGGGAUGGACUCGCGGCUUAUCAGCUUGUUGGUGGGGCAGUGGCUUACCAAGGCUUUGACGGGUAGCCGGCCUGGGGGGGUGACCGGCCAAAUGGGACAUGAGAUACGGCCCAGACCCCUAGGGGGGGGAGCAGUGGGGAAUUUGGCAAAAGGGGGGGAAGCCUGAGGCAGAAACCCCGGGGGGGGGAUGACGGCCUUCGGGUUGUAAACCGCUUUCGCCUGUGACGAAGGGUGAGUGACGGUAAUGGGAAAAGAAGCCCCGGCUAACUACGU